rnacentral:tRNA from 1 species
GCCGGGGUUGCCGAGCUGGUACGGCGCCGACCGCGACUUCAUUAGUCGCGGGCGCAUGCCUGCUAAGCCGGUGGCGAUUUCGCCUCGCGGGUUCGAAUCCCGCCCCCGGCACCA